rnacentral:lncRNA from 10 species
GCUAUAGAUCUGAGGAGGGAGAUUGUGCGGAAACAGAGAUUUCGGAGAGGGAAGGCUCAUGGCAUGAAUGAGACGUGCCUGAAAACGCUGCCUGGCAUGUCUUCACAGCAUCACACAGGUGGAAAGAGGGGAGAGGAAGAGACAAGGGUGGGGUAAAGGCUAUGGGAGGAGGUUAGCUAUUUGCUACUGCAUGUUUUUAUAUCUGCUGAAAAUGUACAAUUACACAGCAUGCUGAUUUAAAUUUGCUUUAGCACCAGAGAUAAAAUUCUCAGAAGAAAGAUUAUCAACUUGCCUGUUUAUUAAAAAUCAAGCAAGCUGUGGCUGAAAAUGUUUAAACUAAAACUUAGACUCUUUGAGGGAAACCAAGUUGAACUAUCAUUGCUCAAGGGACUGUGUGCAUUUUCUCAUUAUUGCUGGUGUACUUUGUCAGCGUGAGUGACACCCUUCUCUCCUCUGGCCUUCCGCUCCACUGGCUCGUGGCUAUUAUCCAUUCUCAAGGUGAAGCUAUGAAUAAGAGUGUUGUCAUUUGGAAGCCUGAGAGUGUGAGAAUCUUUCCCUUUUGCUCCUGAUUCUGAAUAAUGUUCACAAGCAAUCCAAGCCCAUGCUUUCACCUAUGAUGUCAAUAUAGUUCUCAUGCUUUUAUUUGUGGGACUAUAUUGGGAAGAGAACAAAAAGAGAUCAUUAAUGGGAUGCCUCAUUUUAAGUAUGAAAAGUAUGUGUCCAGAAAACUGUAUUUUGAACCUGCCAAAAAUGGUUUCUGAAAGAAAUUUUUGGUGACUUGUUUUGGAAAGUUCUUUU